rnacentral:rRNA from 1 species
AACGAACGCUGGCGGCAGGCUUAACACAUGCAAGUCGAACGAGCUGGGGGCGCCGGUCCCCGAUGCUAGUGGCGCACGGGGGAGUAACACGUGGGAGUAUGCCCUUUAUUACUGAAUAAUCAAGGGAAACAUUGGCGAAUACUGUAGACGCGCUGCGGGGGCAGGAUUUAUGGCUAAAGGAUUAGUCCGCGUCUGAUUAUGUAGUUGGUGAGGUAAUGGCACACCAAGCCGACGAGCAGUAGCUGGGCUUAGAGGAUGACCAGCCACGAUGGGGAUGCGACCCGGCCCCGACUCCUACGGGACGCAGCAGUAGGGAAUAUUGGACGCUGGGGCCUACCCUGACCCCGCCACGCCGCGUGAGUGAAGAAGGCCUUCGGGUUGUAAAGCUCUUUCGAAGGGGACGUUGAUGACGGUAACGGUAUAAGAAGCCCCGGCAAACUUCGUG